UACGUAGGGUGCGAGCGUUGUCCGGAAUUAUUGGGCGUAAAGAGCUCGUAGGCGGUCUUUCGCGUCGGUCGUGAAAACUUGGGGCUUAACCCUGAGCUUGCGGUCGAUACGGGCAUGACUGGAGUUCGGUAGGGGAGACUGGAAUUCCUGGUGUAGCGGUGAAAUGCGCAGAUAUCAGGAGGAACUCCGGUGGCGAAGGCGGGUCUCUGGGCCGAUACUGACGCUGAGGAGCGAAAGCGUGGGGAGCGAACAGG
rnacentral:rRNA from 1 species